rnacentral:snoRNA from 1 species
AACCCAUGGUGUGGGCACUGGUUGGUAUAUGCUUCACCAAAACUCUUAUUGCUAUGUUGAGUGAAGCUGGAGAUUUGGUUUCUCAGCUU